rnacentral:rRNA from 1 species
AACGAACGCUGGCGGCAGGCUUAACACAUGCAAGUCGAACGCCUGUAGCAAUACAGGAGUGGCAGACGGGUGAGUAACACGUGGGAACGUGCCCAAAGGUACGGAACAACUCCGGGAAACUGGAGCUAAUACCGUAUGUGCCCGAAAGGGGAAAGAUUCAUCGCCUUUGGAUCGGCCCGCGUCUGAUUAGCUAGUUGGUGGGGUAAUGGCCUACCAAGGCGACGAUCAGUAGCUGGUCUGAGAGGAUGGCCAGCCACACUGGGACUGAGACACGGCCCAGACUCCUACGGGAGGCAGCAGUGGGGAAUAUUGGACAAUGGGCGCAAGCCUGAUCCAGCCAUGCCGCGUGAGUGAUGAAGGCCUUAGGGUUGUAAAGCUCUUUCGCCAGGGACGAUAAUGACGGUACCUGGAUAAGAAGCCCCGGCUAACUUCGUGCCAGCAGCCGCCGUAA